CGGCGAGUGAAGCGGGAUGAGCUCAAAUUUAAAAUCUGGCGGCCUCAGGUCGUCCGAGUUGUAGUCUAGAGAAUCGUUUUCCGCGUUGGCCUGUGUACAAGUCCCUUGGAACAGGGCGUCAUAGAGGGUGAGAAUCCCGUCCUUGACACAGAUUACCAAUGCUUUGUGAUGCGAUCUCGAAGAGUCGAGUUGUUUGGGAAUGCAGCUCAAAAUGGGUGGUAAAUUCCAUCUAAAGCUAAAUAUUGGCGAGAGACCGAUAGCGAACAAGUACCGUGAGGGAAAGAUGAAAAGCACUUUGGAAAGAGAGUUAAACAGUACGUGAAAUUGUUAAAAGGGAAACGAUUGAAGUCAGUCAUGCUUUCCGAGACUCAGCCGAUUCUGUCGGUGUACUUCUCGGUUGGCAGGCCAGCAUCAGUUUCGAUCUGUGGAAAAGGUUGGAGGGAACGUGGCAUCUCCGGAUGUGUUAUAGCCCUUCUUCGAAUACAUAGAGCGGGACUGAGGAACGCAGCGCGCCUUUUAUUAGGUUGGCCCUCGGGUACAUACGCGCUUAGGAUGCUGGCAUAAUGGCUUUAAACGACCCGUCUUGAA
rnacentral:rRNA from 1 species